rnacentral:rRNA from 1 species
CAGUAGCCGCGGUAAAACGUAGGGUGCGAGCGUUGUCCGGAAUUACUGGGCGUAAAGAGCUCGUAGGCGGUUUGUCGCGUCGUCUGUGAAAUUCUGCAGCUUAACUGUAGGCGUGCAGGCGAUACGGGCAGACUUGAGUACUACAGGGGAGACUGGAAUUCCUGGUGUAGCGGUGAAAUGCGCAGAUAUCAGGAGGAACACCGGUGGCGAAGGCGGGUCUCUGGGUAGUAACUGACGCUGAGGAGCGAAAGCGUGGGUAGCGAACAGGAUUAGAUACCCGAGUAGUCCCUGUCUCUUAUAC